rnacentral:rRNA from 1 species
UGGUCAAGUUAUUAAGGGUGCAGGGCGGAUGCCUUGGCACUAGGAGCCGAUGAAGGACGUGAUAAGCUGCGAUAAGCUUCGGGGAGUUGCACGUAAACUUUGAUCCGAAGAUUUCCGAAUGAGGAAACUCACUUAGAGUAAUGUCUAAGUAUCAUUAAGUGAAUACAUAGCUUAAUGAGGGGAACUCAGGGAACUGAAACAUCUAAGUACCUGAAGGAAGAGAAAGAAAUUCGAUUCCGUAAGUAGCGGCGAGCGAACGCGGAUUAGCCCAAACCAAUAAAGUUUUCUUUAUUGGGGUUGCGGACAUAUCAUAACGAAGAGGUAUCGUAAUUGAAGAGGUUUGGAAAGACCCACCACAGAAGGUAAUAGUCCUGUAUGUUAAACGAGAAGACUUUAGAUAUGAUCCAGAGUACCACGGGACACGUGAAACCCUGUGGGAAGCAGGAGGGACCACCCUCCAAGGCUAAAUACUACCUAGUGACCGAUAGCGUAUAGUACCGUGAGGGAAAGGUGAAAAGAACCCCGGGAGGGGAGUGAAAUAGAACCUGAAACCCUGCACUUACAAGCUGUGGAAGCACAUUUCUUGUGUGACCGCGUACUUUUUGUAGAACGGGCCAACGAGUUACGUUAAGUAGCAAGGUUAAGCACUUAAGGUGCGGAGCCGUAGCGAAAGCGAGUUUUAACUGAGCGUUCAGUUACUUGACGUAGACCCGAAACCGGGCGACCUACCCAUGAGCAGGAUGAAGCGAAAGUAAAAUUUCGUGGAGGUCCGAACCCACGAGCGUUGAAAAGCUCGGGGAUGACUUGUGGGUAGCGGUGAAAUUCCAAUCGAGCCCGGAGAUAGCUGGUUCUCCCCGAAAUAGCUUUAGGGCUAGCCUCAAGGUGAGAGAUACGGAGGUAGAGCACUGAAUGUCCUAGGGGGUAUUGCACCUACCGAAGACUAUCAAACUCCGAAUGCCGUCAUCUUAUACUUGGGAGUCAGACUGUGGGUGAUAAGAUUCAUAGUCGAAAGGGCAACAGCCCAGAUCG